rnacentral:rRNA from 1 species
UACGGAGGGUGCAAGCGUUAUCCGGAUUCACUGGGUUUAAAGGGAGCGUAGGAGGGCAGGUAAGUCAGUGGUGAAAUCUUCGAGCUUAACUCGGAAACUGCCGUUGAUACUAUCUGUCUUGAAUACCGUGGAGAUGAGCGGAAUAUGUCAUGUAGCGGUGAAAUGCUUGGAUAUGACAUAGAACACCAAUUGCGAAGGCAGCUCGCUACACAUAUAUUGACUCUGAGGCACGAAAGCGUGGGGAUCAAACAGG